rnacentral:lncRNA from 1 species
AGUGAGGAUGUAAAUGUUAGUGUUGUGUAGUCAUAGUGUCAUCAGGGGAAAUGUCUAGUAGAAGCAAUUGAGUCUCGCCAAAGCAAGGAGCAGAUAAAACCAAUAGUUUAAUAUUUAAUCAUUGCUAUUCACAACCUCCAUAUUUCUCUGAACUAAUAGAAGGCUUUUAGAGAGGACACUCGCUGAUACUAGAUCAUUUACUGAUAAAAUUUGUCUGGCGGGAGUUCUCUCAAGAAAACCGAAAGAAGGAAGGGGAUUGUGUCAAUCCAUCAAUCUCCCAAUCCUUGCUUUUUUUGUGGAUAAUCUGAAUCGCCCAUGAGUUCAAAUAUCUUAUACCAAAAAAUUUGGGGUAAGGUGAAAUGGCUAGCUAGCAUAUCAUAUUCAAAACUCCUCCCUUUUUCACGUCUCUCCAAGACAACCCUCAAUGGUGGGAUUUAUCUGGGAAU